UUGCUUUUUGCUGUCUUAUCUCUUGUUUAUCAAUUUUAUUUAGGAGUUUGGUAUGAGAAAACCAAUGGAAGGAAGAUGAAAUCUUAAGAGCAAAGUCACAUGGCCCUGACAGUCAAGAUGAGUGGAUGGGCCCUGGGAGUUUAGAGGUCCUGCCUGGACCAUACUGAUGUGGGUGAGAAUGUCAGAUGCCUGAAUGCGCAAAUCCCAGCACUACCACUUACUAUUAGCUUGAGAUCAAAGUCUGCUGCGACAGUGAAGAUGUGCUUGAGUAGUCAGCUGGAUUCCUUAUCCCUGCCAUUCAUCUAUCUCUCCAUCCAGCCACCCAUUCAUUCCUUCAAUCAUCUUCCAAUCAACCAACUAUCCAUCUGCUAUGGUCUGAAUAUUUGUGUCCCUCCAAAAUUUAUUUGUUGAAAUCCUAACCCCUAAGGAUUAUGGGAGGUGAUUAGGUAAUGAAGACAGGACGCUCUUGAUUGAGAUUAAUACCUUUUAAAAAUAUAUAUAUUUUUUAUUGAUUUCAGAGAGGAAGGGAGAAAGAUAGAAACAUAAAGGUUGAGAGAGUAUUAUCAAUCGACUGCCUUCUGCAUGCUCCUUCUGGGGAUCAAACCUACAACCUGGGCAUGUGCCCUGACUGGGAAUUGAACCAUAGCCUCCUGGUUCAUAGGUUGACACUCAAACACUGAGCCACACCAGCU